rnacentral:tRNA from 1 species
GGAUUAUAGCUCAGUGGUAGAGUGCUCACCUAGCAUGUGUGAGGUACUGGGUUCGAUCCUUAGCACCA